UUGAACGCUGGCGGCAUGCUUUACACAUGCAAGUCGAACGGUAACAGGCCGCAAGGUGCUGACGAGUGGCGAACGGGUGAGUAAUGCAUCGGAACGCGCCCAGUCGUGGGGGAUAACUACUCGAAAGAGUAGCUAAUACCGCAUACGAUCUAUGGAUGAAAGCGGGGGACCGUAAGGCCUCGCGCGAUUGGAGCGGCCGAUGUCAGAUUAGGUAGUUGGUGGGGUAAAGGCUCACCAAGCCAACGAUCUGUAGCUGGUCUGAGAGGACGACCAGCCACACUGGGACUGAGACACGGCCCAGACUCCUACGGGAGGCAGCAGUGGGGAAUUUUGGACAAUGGGCGCAAGCCUGAUCCAGCAAUGCCGCGUGCAGGAAGAAGGCCUUCGGGUUGUAAACUGCUUUUGUACGGAACGAAACGGCUCUGGUUAAUACCCGGGGCUAAUGACGGUACCGUAAGAAUAAGCACCGGCUAACUACGUG
rnacentral:rRNA from 1 species